AUUGAACGCUGGCGGCAGGCCUAACACAUGCAAGUCGAACGAGUGGCGGACGGGUGAGUAAUGUCUGGGAAACUGCCUGAUGGAGGGGGAUAACUACUGGAAACGGUAGCUAAUACCGCAUACGAUCCGCUGUGCCCAGAUGGGAUUAGCUUGUUGGUGGGGUAACGGCUUACCAAGGCGACGAUCCCUAGCUGGUCUGAGAGGCUGACCAGCCACACGGGAACUGAGACACGGUCCAGACUCCUACGGGAGGCAGCAGUGGGGAAUAUUGGACAAUGGGCGCAAGCCUGAUGCAGCCAUGCCGCGUGUAUGAAGAAGGUCUUCGGGUUGUAAAGUACUUUCAUCGGGGAGGCGUUACCCGAAGAGGAAGCACCGGCUAACUCCGUGCCAGCAGCCGCGGUAAUAC
rnacentral:rRNA from 1 species